UACGAAGGGUGCAAGCGUUGCUCGGAAUUAUUGGGCGUAAAGGGUAGGUAGGUGGUCUCAUUUGUCUGGGGUGAAAGCCUUGAGCUUAACUCAAGAAGUGCCUCAGAAACGGUGAGACUAGAGUCCUGGAGAGGGUCGUGGAAUUCCCGGUGUAGCGGUGAAAUGCGUAGAGAUCGGGAGGAACACCAGCGGCGAAGGCGGCGACCUGGACAGGCACUGACACUCAACUACGAAAGCGUGGGGAGCAAACAGG
rnacentral:rRNA from 1 species